rnacentral:pre_miRNA from 1 species
UUUGAACUGGUGGGGUCCCUCGGCCUGGUCUGUGCCCUCUCGCAAUCUGGGACCCCUCAGGGGAUGUCGGAGGCCUGGUGCAUGGAUUCGGCCCAAUCCCCGCAGGCCAGGCCAAGGGACCCCACCAGUGCACA